GACGAACGCUGGCGGCGUGCCUAAUACAUGCAAGUCGAGCGAAUGAAUGGGAGCUUGCUCCUGUUCGUUAGCGGCGGACGGGUGAGUAACACGUGGGCAACCUGCAUGUAAGACUGGGAUAACUUCGGGAAACCGGAGCUAAUACCGGAUAGUUUCUUUCUUCACAUGAAGAAGGAUGGAAAGACGGUUUUGCUGUCACUUACAGAUGGGCCCGCGGCGCAUUAGCUAGUUGGUGAGGUAAUGGCUCACCAAGGCGACGAUGCGUAGCCGACCUGAGAGGGUGAUCGGCCACACUGGGACUGAGACACGGCCCAGACUCCUACGGGAGGCAGCAGUAGGGAAUCUUCCGCAAUGGACGAAAGUCUGACGGAGCAACGCCGCGUGAGUGAAGAAGGUUUUCGGAUCGUAAAACUCUGUUGUCAGGGAAGAACAAGUACCAGAGUAACUGCUGGUACCUUGACGGUACCUGACCAGAAAGCCACGGCUAACUACGUGCCAGCCGCCGCUGUAAAAC
rnacentral:rRNA from 1 species